GUGCCAGCAGCCGCGGUAAUACGUAGGGUGCGAGCGUUGAUCGGAAUUACUGGGCGUAAAGCGUGCGCAGGCGGUUUGUUAAGACAGGUGUGAAAUCCCCGGGCUCAACCUGGGAAUGGCGCUUGUAACUGGCAGGCUAGAGUGUGUCAGAGGGAGGUAGAAUUCCACGUGUAGCAGUGAAAUGCGUAGAGAUGUGGAGGAAUACCGAUGGCGAAGGCAGGUCUCUGGGCUGACACUGACGCUCAUGCACGAAAGCGUGGGGAGCAAACAGGAUUAGAAACCCUCGUAGUCC
rnacentral:rRNA from 1 species